rnacentral:tRNA from 1 species
GGGGAAGUAGUGCAAGUGGCCAAAGCCGUCUGACUGUAAAUCGGAUAUUAAUUUUUCGAAGGUUCGAAUCCUUCCUUCCCCA